rnacentral:rRNA from 1 species
UACGUAGGUGGCAAGCGUUGUCCGGAAUUAUUGGGCGUAAAGCGCGCGCAGGCGGUUUCUUAAGUCUGAUGUGAAAGCCCCCGGCUUAACCAGGGAGGGUCAUUGGAAACUGGGAGACUGGAGUGCAGAAGAGGAGAGUGGAAUUCCAUGUGUAGCGGUGAAAUGCGUAGAUAUAUGGAGGAACACCAGUGGCGAAGGCGGCUCUCUGGUCUGUAACUGACGCUGAGGCGCGGAAGCGUGGGGAGCAAAC